GGGGGAAUAGCUUCUCAUUCAGUUCAGCUGGAACAAAGAGUUCAGGAAGAAGAGUGGAACGAGAUAAGGCUGGAAAUGUAGGCAGGAGCCAGAUUGUGGGAUGAUGAAUUAAUAACUGAUGACUAACGUACAUGUUGCUCCAAUAUCCCUUUAUACUAAGGGGUUGUAUUUGUGGCUACAGAGGCUGUUGCCACUAGCCUAGAUGAGAGCAGCAGACCAUCUCCUGUGCAACUUCCUGGAGAUCAUCAAUUAGCAUGUUUUUUGCUCUCAGAACCUUUUUACACUCUUAAAAUUUGUCUAGAACUCCCUCCCCAAAGUUUUUGUUCAUGUGGGUUACAUUUCACAAUAUUGACCUACUCGAAAUGAAAAUAUCUCAGUAUUAUUACAAAAACAGUUUUGACCUUGCAGAACCCUCAAAAGCAUCUUAGCAUCAGGGGUCUCCAGACCACACUGUGAAAAUUGCUGCAUUGGGGCAUCUAGGUGGCUCAGGGGAGAGAUAAGGCAACAAGCCUGGAGACAGGAGGUCCUGGGUUCAAGUUUGCCCUCAAAUACUUGGGCAAGACACUUAACCUCCAUUGCCUAGUCAUUACUGCUCUUCUUCUUGGAACCAAUACUUCAUAUCAACUCAAGACAGAAGGACUCAUUGCAAUCAGAAUAAUGUCACUACCAAACACCCCGAAUAGGUGCAUCCAAAGACAUCUACUACAAGCAGAAAAUUCCUCUUCCUUCAGACUCUAUAAUGAGCAUCCUCAAUGAUGGGAGCAAAACCUUUGGUCUUGUUUCUACCUUCAUAACUUCUCCAGUGUAUGGCUCCUUAGUCUGGCUCCUUAAUGACAGUGGCAGAGGCACCUGUUUCCUUGCUCCUGGUGUGACUGGAUACCUUUCCCUAGGUACUUCUAUUGUGAAAACUCUGGAGGAAGUUGCAAUUAUAUAAGAAGUAUUGUCUUGGGAACAAUGACUCCUAAAGGGCCAGGAAAUGAUGACUGUGUCACAAGUUCAGUGACAGCAGCAUUCUUGACAACAACACCCAAGUCCUUCCCUACUCUAUUGUGCAUGUUUUUGUCAGAGGUCAUGAUAUUCUUGCAGUCAGAGGUUAUGGGACCCUGACAUUACACUUUAGAACAGGGUCUUAUGGCUUAGACAGAACUCAGAAGAAGCUCCAAUCUGAAUGUGCAUUUAUUUCCCAAUAAUCAUACCUCAC
rnacentral:lncRNA from 1 species